GCGCGUUUAGCUCAGUGGUAGAGCGUCACAUUGACAUUGUGAAGGUCGCAGGUUCAAUCCCUGCAACGCGCA
rnacentral:tRNA from 2 species